rnacentral:rRNA from 1 species
GAUGAACGCUGGCGGCGUGCCUAAUACAUGCAAGUCGAGCGAACAGACGAGGAGCUUGCUCCUCUGACGUUAGCGGCGGACGGGUGAGUAACACGUGGAUAACCUACCUAUAAGACUGGGAUAACUUCGGGAAACCGGAGCUAAUACCGGAUAAUAUAUUGAACCGCAUGGUUCAAUAGUGAAAGACGGUUUUGCUGUCACUUAUAGAUGUAUCCGCGCCGCAUUAGCUAGUUGGUAAGGUAACGGCUUACCAAGGCAACGAUGCGUAGCCGACCUGAGAGGGGGAUCGGCCACACUGGAACUGAGACACGGUCCAGACUCCUACGGGAGGCAGCAGUAGGGAAUCUUCCGCAAUGGGCGAAAGCCUGACGGAGCAACGCCGCGUGAGUGAUGAAGGUCUUCGGAUCGUAAAACUCUGUUAUUAGGGAAGAACAAAUGUGUAAGUAACUAUGCACGUCUUGACGGUACCUAAUCAGAAAGCCACGGCUAACUACGUG